UCAGGAAGUGCUUCUUCUUUCAUUAUCUUUUUCCAAUAUUCUCCUUCUUCUUUCCUGCUUCUGCCAUGGGUUAGAUCUCCAAGCUGUAAUUAAACCCCAUCAUUCAAAAACAUGGUUACCACAAAGAUAAGAAAAAACUUGAUAUGGUGGGUUGCUUUUGACAAAAGACGAGACCGAUCGAGGUGAUCUAAUUUUGGACCAAGUCAGUAUAUAGUCAUCACUAAGCGCAUGUGAGGUUAUAUAUCUUGUUUCGGCUACUUGAUAUGACAUGCUCGACCUCAACCAAUGGAGGUCGUUAACCAGGCCAAUUUGGCUUUGGGUCGAGUUGUCCCUUUUUCCUAGACCCAUUUUCAUUCUUUAUAUAUGCACGUUACCUCGUCAGCCAUCCAUUGUCAUCUUCUCAGCCAUAUAGCCUUUUCUUCUUUGAUAUAUCGAUUUUACCCUCUAUUCCAAAAUCAAUUAUUUUUUACUUUCA